UACAGAGAGUGCAAGCGUUAAUCAGAAUUACUGGGCGUAAAGCGCACGUAGGUGGAUACCUAAGUCAGAUGUGAAAGUCCUGGGCUUAACCUGGGAAUUGCACCUGAUACUGGGUAUCUUGAGUAUGGUAGAGGGAAGUGGAAUUUCCGGUGUAGCGGUGAAAUGCGUAGAUAUCGGAAGGAACACCAGUGGCGAAGGCGG
rnacentral:rRNA from 1 species